rnacentral:rRNA from 1 species
GCAUGCCUACAACAUAGCGUUAAUGCAUCAGAUCCCAUUAGAACUCUGUAGUUAAGCGCGUUGAGGCUAGAGUAGUACUAGGAUGGGUGAUUGCCCGAGAAUUCCUAGUGUUUUACAUGCC